GAGCCUCCAUUUUUCUUUUAUCCUUCACUUUCUUUUUUAGGUGCUUCAUUUCUAAGAGAGCCACUUGAAGCUCGACCUGAGGUGUGGAUGGCUCUGAAGACACUUGAGUCUUUCUGGAGGGAGAGCCUCUACCCCUCUGCAGUGUUUUCUCUCUGUGACUGACCCUAUUGGCUGAGCCUCUACUAGGGCUCCCUUGAGAACGAGCCUCAGAGGAGGUGUAGUCGUGGCCUCUCUUUCCUUCAAAUGUUCUCUUCAAGCGCUCUAUAUAAUUGUGAGCUCGGUGCCUGUCUCUUUCGGCCCC
rnacentral:lncRNA from 1 species